AAAUAAUAAAUUUCCAAAAAAAAAAAAAAAACAUUUCCUUGAUCUCUACUCUCCGUGGAUUGCCCUUGUGCUAAUUUCUUUUGCUUAUAAAUACAAAUCACCAAUCUUUUAUCAACUUCACCUCUCAUUUAUCCUUCAACUCAACCUCCUAAGCCCCCCUCUUGGGGCCUUCUUCCCUUCUUCUUCCUCAUAUUUUCUCUUUGAUAGGCCAAAAGAUCUUCAGAAUUGCUUUCUUUUGUUACUGAAAAACAGACUCCGUUUCUUUCAAGAAUACCCAAUUCAAAUUUACAGAGAAUUAAUGGUGGUGAUGCCAACUGAUCCUCGUGCUCAUCUGAAGAGCAGGAACACAACUUUUCCUCCAGUUCCAAAGAGAGGCCGAGUCAAAUCUCAAAUUUUUGAGAGCUUUGCAAAGACUGUCGUCUCCAUAACCUCCAAGGCAGGCGGAGCUCGGAAAAGAACCGGAGGUGAAGGCGGAGGAGAUAACGGAAGUUCUUCCACUGCAACCCCAACUCCACCACUUAGUCCCUUCAACUCCAAAACAAAUACCGAGUUCUUGUAGUCGAUCAAAUCGGUGGCCGUGAACGAGUUGAAUCGUUUUGAGUAGCUUAAAGAUGUAGAACUCCAACAUGGGUUCUCUGCAAAACUCGUAUUUGAGCUAGUUUUAGCAGGAUUUAUACCCAUCUCUGUUUAGAUUUUGCAAUUUCAGUGUGUUUGAAUCUGUGGAUUUGCCUCUUUCUUUCUUUUUUUUUUUUGAGGCGUCGUAUUCAUCAUUUCUCGAGUUUUAGGGAAGAGAUGAUUGUUUAUUUAUGGACUUUUGAUGGUGUCUUGUACUUCUAAUUCUCUGUUAGGUCAUGUCUACUUCUUGUAUUCUGUUAAUGAUAAUACCAAAAAUUUUAUUUUGAAAA